UCAUGGCCAGCAGGUUGAGGGAGGCGAUAUCUCUCCUUUUCCUUGCCCUGGUGAAGCCACAUGUGGAAUUCCAUAUCCAGGUCUGGGAUCCCCAGUUCAAGCAACACAGGGAACUUCUAGAGAGAGCCCAGUGGGAGGCCACUAAGGUCGUUAGGGGCAUGGAGCAUCUCCUGUAUGCAGACAGGCUGAGAGUGUGGGACUGUUCAGCCUGGUGAAGAGUGGUCUGAGAGGAGGAUGUUAUAAAUAUCUAAUGGGUGGGAGUCAUGCAGAUGCAGCCCUGACCCUGGCAGCUCCCCGAGUCCCAGCGCUCACCCAAUCUCUUCCCUGGGGGACGUGUCCCCACCCAGCUCACCUCUGCUGCUGUACGUGCGCCCGUGGGGCCCUGGCUGCCUGAGCCAGGCAGGACAGGGAAAUGCAGGUGAUGGCUGUAGGGACAGGCAGCGAGAGCUGCUGCCAGCAGUGCCCAGAGCACAGCCCAGCACCCAAGACAAAUCUCGCUCCACCUCCAACCUCGCACACGCGCUCGGCAGGAGUCCAGGCUCGAGACUGACUGGGCCAGGCUCUGCCCGCACCCAAAGCUGAGCAGUGAUGGUGCUGCAGUCACAGUGCAUCUCUUGGUGACAUCACAGCCUGUUGCUCGGUGAUGUCACCACUGUCUUUUGGCCUACACAGAAUUCGCUCCAGCAGGACUUAGCAUUUUUGUGUCCAUAUAUGCUUUUAAGGCAACUGCAGUGCCAUUUCCAGGCACUGCCCCUCCCUAUCAAUGCCUUUCUUGUUCUCCUGUUCCUCGUGUUUUCUGGUAGCUCUGAGGCCUGGCCUGUGCCUUCUCAGGGGCCUGAUAGGUGCUCUUGUCUCUCUCUUUUUUGUUUUCCAUAUACCAAGAAGAGCUCUGAAAACAUGUUAUUCCAUUGAAUUGAACACCUAUGAUUCUGUGGUUCUGAUUCUGUGUAAUACAGUCCAUUGUCCUCCUUGUGUUUUUGGCCAUACAGUGGACAAUAUCACAAUUUGUGUUACCUGCUGCAGUUUGUAUAAUUCCAUACACUCUGUCUCCUCUCUUCUCUGACUUUGGAUUCUCCACAUAUCUGCAGUGUCAGUGCACUGUCUACACACUGUAGGACUCCCUCUGAGCCAGGAAAGCAAGAAAUCAAAGCAAGCAAAGAUAUCAUAUAAAUGGAGUCAACAACGCCUGUGCAUUUGGAAAGGCUAGUAACUGUGGUUCAAGAUGCUUGCAUUUAAUAUGAAAUACAAGACUGUUCUAAUCCAGCCUUGUCAAGUCCCAGAGUCUUAUACUGCCUUCAUUUUUGCCACAGAUUCUAAAAACAGCAUAUUAAGUGGAAAGGAUCUCUGAACAACAAGAAAAGCCAAGUCAGCCUUUCAAAUGACACUAGACCAUGAUGUGAUGUGAAUUAAAAAAAAAAAAAACAAAAAAACACCACCCUGUUUGCAAUGGAAGAAACUAUGGAAUUCAAAAGCA